AGGGAUGCCGAGGUUUGCCACUGCUAUUGCUCCUCUCAGCUGUCAAGGUAGAAUUAAAAUCCUGAUUCUGUUUAUAAAGAAGCUUAAAAGCAGGCGGCAAAGUCCAUUCAUAUGAGUUAUAAUUGCACAGUUCAAAUACUGGCUGGUAAUUAGAAUCACAAUUGACCUUUGCAUAAAUGUAGGGUUAUACUUAAUUUUAGCCAGAAGCUUUUAAAAUAUGAAUUUAAAUAUUGCUCAUGGUUUAUGGCUUCUAAUGAAUUUUUCUCUCUACCUUUUUAAAGAAAAAUUUUACACUAUCCUCAAAAGGAUAUGCACUUUGCUGCAUUCAUAACCAUAAUGCUACAUAAGAGAUUGGGAAAAUUAUUACCUAAAAAUAAUGCUGGAGCAGAAUACUAUAUCAGAUGUGAAAGAACAGGUAAAAAUGACUGGUCAGUCCAUACAAGUUUAUCCUUGUAUAGAGACACAAUAUAACCAAUUUUUUGUUUUAGUUGGAUUUCCAUCAAAUGGAAACCUUAGUCCAGAUUUUUGCUGUGACUCAGUACAUAAUUGUUAAAAUGCUAAACCCAUCUUCUCCAACUUGGUGUCUUCCGGAACUAUGGGACUUCAUUGUUUAGGAAUGAUGACAUUUGCAUUUUGCAAGUUUGCAACAGUUUGCAAGGCUGGAGAAGGCUCCAUUAAACAAGGCAUUUUCAACUGGGUUACAGAUGUAUAUCUGUAAAAAAUCAAGAAACAGUCAAACACAGCAAAGAGAUAAUAGAAAACUCUAAUCAUCUGAUGCCAUCCAGAGGUCAUCUGGAUAUUUACAGCCAAAAUAUUGCAUACCUAUUUCAGUGGAAAUAAAGUUGUGAUUUUGCUAUACCACAGGCACAGUGUUCUAAUGGAUGAGAACAUCACACUUUCUUUCCUCAGUGCCAGAUUUUAAUAGAAAAGUUAAAAUGUGGAUAUUUAAACCAGUCAAAAUUAAUCAAGGUUAAUAGAAGAUAUUAGACAAUCUGUGCCUCAUUGGAUCAUAGUUUCAAAAAUAUUUCCUUACUUAAAUGGCUGUGGAGAUUCUCAAUCAUCCAGAUCAUGGUUAUUCCGAAGGUGCUUUUCAAAAUGCAACUGGACUUUCUUUGGGGUUUUUUUGAAAAUGUUUCACUUCUCAUCGAAAACUGAAGAAGCGUCUUGGAUGAGAAGCGAAACAUUUACAAAGAGAAAAUGAAGAAAAUCCAGUUGCAUUUUGAAAAACACAUUUGGGGUUCUUAUCUAAACCUAAAAUUGAAUUUCCUUGUGGGAAGCUAGCAGGGAGCAUCAGAAAUCUUCCUUCCUUCCUUCCUUCCUUCCUUCCUUCCUUCCUUCCUUCCUUCCUUCCUUCCUUCCUUCCUUCCUUCCUUCCUUCCUUCUCUCCCUCCCUCCCUCUUCCUGCCCUUCCCUCCCCUCCUUCCAUCCACUCCCUGUCCUGCAGGUAAGUGGUAGCUGCUGGGUGAGGAAGGAGAGAUGGAUUGCAAGGCUGGUUGGGACACUGUCCUGGAACAUUGAAAAUGAAGAUCAGGUGAUCACAGCAGCAGCCAGUAGCACUGAAGCAGCUACAACUUCCCCAAAUUCCAUUCCUUUGUGAGUCAUGGAUCCUGAAAGUUAGCCUAUUUGAAGCAUCUUGCUUCAUAAAUUGUUGACCUACACUGCACCAUUUCGCCUAGUUAAAGGAUGUGAUAUUUAAAGUGUUAGUGGUAUAUAGAGAUACAGCCACUUAAAUUGGCAAUAUUGUACAUGUUCUACUCUAGAAAUCUUUUCAGGAUGUCUACAGAUUCCCUUCUGCUUUCUGCCUCACUCCUCCAGGUUGUGAACUACCUAUAAGUGCCUUGGAUGCAAUCCCAAAACAACUGGACCACUUGAACACCAUUGGCAUUGACAAAAUGACCAUCAGUCAGUUGCAUCAGUCAAUUCAAGUCUGCAGAUACAAGGGGGAAACCAUACUUCUAACAACUACGGUUUUGAAGGUUCUCCCCAUUGGUUGAACAGUAAAUCUGUGUAUACAUAUUUUCCCAGGAAGAAAGGACCAGGACAUGAAUUAAACCAAGCAGAUGCUUUUAAUCUCUUCAGAAUAUAAGUAAGAUACAAGCGAACAUCAGGAUGCUUCAGUAAACUUCAGAACCAAAGGGAGGAGGAUGCUAGCUAAUGUGAAAUAUACUUUCUCUCUUUUUGUGGCACUAGAAUAGAAUAGAGACACAAUUUGUUUAGGGCUUAUUAAAAUCUGUUAAAAACAGUUGGCAGGAAACACUUAAUGAUUCCAGUAAAUUCUAUUGUACCAGUGAAAUACAAAUGCAUCAGAAUUUCACCAUGCCAAGGUCUUAGCAGAUACACCAAGUUGACUCAAUUUAUUAUUUACUGUUUAUAAAAUAUAUAUAUAUAUAUUAUAUGUAUAUGAAAUCUUAAUCUGUUCAC